ACAGGAUAAAGGCAGCAGGAUUCAUGUGCAAAAGAGAAGUGAUGGGCUCCUGUGGCAGGGGUCCCUGGACUGCCCCUCCUUCUGCUGGAGUGAAGGAUUGUUUUAUGUUUUUUUUCUCUAAUUAUAUGGAAUUAUCCUAGAGUCCAGUCCAUGUACCAGAGAUUAUUCCCAUGUGAGACUCUGAACUCUUGGAGAAAACACACCCUGCUUUCCAGUCCCACUUGAAACUCUGCAGUGAUCCUCAGGCUUGUCUGGCACCCUCCUAUAACUGCAUAGUGAGCUCAGCUCAUAAAAUCAUCAGUGACUGACUCCCACCCAGUUUGGGACUUUGGAACAGCAUUAGAACACAGGUCCAUCCACAUAAGGACCUGCAUGGAGGAACAGCAUGACCUGCAAAAUGUCCCCUGCUGAUUGACUAUGGGACAAGACAUGCUGUGGUGGUUUGACUAUGCUUAGCCCAGAAGAAGUGGUACUAUGAGGAGGCGUGACCUUGUUGGAAUAGGUAUGGUCUUCUUGGAGGAAGUGUGUCGCUGUCUCGUCAGCCUUUGAGGGCUCCUAGCUCAAGCUCCACCCCGUGCAAAAGAGAACCUCCUCCUUCCCACUGCCAGAGUCUCCUUCUGGCUGCCCUUGGACUAAGAUGUGAAACUCUCGACUCCUUCUCCUGCGAUGUGUCUGCCUGGAUGCCAGCAUGCUUCCUACUAUGAUGAUAAUGGACUGAACCUCUGAAACCAUAAGACAGCCCAGUUAAAGAUUUGCCUUUUGUAAGAGCUGCCUCCAUCACGGUGUGUCUCUUCGCAGCAGAGAAACCCUAAGACAACAUGCUUACCAAGAAGAUGGACAAAAGGGAUUAGUUUGCAGGAGUGACUGGAAAGGGGUCUAGAAGUGGACUGUUGCUUGCUUCUGUAAAGGACAUGUUUCAGAAUUAGCUGAUCCCUCACACCCCCUUGGCCUGAAUCUAUGGCUUUCAAAUAGAACCCUUGGCUUUACAAGAACAAUGCAGAUACUAUCAUGUGGAGCCGAGUCAGU
rnacentral:lncRNA from 1 species